rnacentral:lncRNA from 1 species
CCAAAGCUAGAGAAAUAAAUAAAAAAAAAAAACAACACAAUCCAAGCCCAAUAAGAAUAGGGUACAGAGAUUAAAACAAGGGUGCAGUCCGAAAUUUCUUAGUCCAGUCCAGAUAUAGGGGUGCAUCAGUAAAGGUGGGGGUGCUGAACAAAUUGAGGCCUUUCUGAUUUGAGCCCAAAACACUUUUUCUUUAGAUUUAGAAUCUGCCAGGUGCGUAAGUAUAAAAGUGGAGGUGUAGUUCGAAAUGGGCCCAAUGCCCAAACCCCUUUUUUUUUUGUUUGACAGACGCAUGAGGACUGCAGCCCAAACAAAAUGGAGGUGUAAAUGGAAUUGCAGGGUGACGGGCAGAGAAAAUCCUAGCCCAAAUGCCAGGCCCAAAACCCUCUUUGCCCUUGCUUGCAGAAAGGGAAUGGAGGUGCGAAUAGAGAAACGAAGGUGGCGGCAGGCAGAAUGUGGCCCANAGCCAGACCCACUGCUUCCUUUUGUAGGCAAAUAGNGAAUAGGGUGUGAANAACNUUGAUGUGGUGGCAAGAGAAGAGAAUGGGCCCAACAGCUGGCCCAAGCCUAACCCUAACAGAAACAUUAGGGGUUUCUCUAACUUCAUCUCAUUUGCAUUNGCGGCGUCAAGACUCAGAUCACCUUCUCCGUAAACACUCGCUUCCGCCACCCCCAGCCAUGACUCAGACUCCACCCGUNCGGCCACCGCGACUCGCGGUCCACAACAUCGCCAGGGACAAAACCCGCUGCCAGAGACAUCGCCGAUCACGACACUAGGCCCGCUUACCCUUCUUCUCAUCUUCGUGCGAGAGAAAGCUUCUUCCUCGUGAACGACAUCACUGCCGCCGAGCCAGGGCCACCGCGAGCAACGAACCAGAGCCACCGAUUCAAGUCGUCGUCGACAACAAUACUCGUUGCCGGAGCCACCAGGUUGAGGCCUUCAUCCCCGUCGAGCGCCCUUCGUCUCCAUCCUGCCGCCGCCACUGCCUAGCUCUCCCAGCCCUAGAUCUCGAUGUCGUUUGUUACCAGGACUGCCGGCGACGAUGCCGGUCACUAUCGGGGUCUCGUUCAGUGCCCUGCUUCGCUUCGAACAGAGCAAUCCCACACCAACGUCCUCUACUGUCGUGAUUUCUCGAGAUUUCCAAUCACUCACGUUCCGCCAAGCUAGGGUCGACACCGGCGGCGUCGGGUUCUUGUCACCACCAACGCGUCGCUGCCACCGUCAAACCAGCCACCAGUGUUGACCAGAAUCGAUGGCACUGCGCUCCUUCUUCCUCCUUGUGGGAUCAAUUUUCCCCCAACUUGAGGCGCGAAAAAAAAAACACCACCUACGACUCUGCAACCGCCUCUCUUGGCACUCUUAGUUACCACUCAUGGCUAUCAUCGGGCUAAUCAAUGGAGUGGGUUUUCUCAUCUCUGUUAGAUAUUGACGAUGAAGAUUGCCAGCUUUGAGGCCUCUUCUCUGAUGGAUUGAUGUAGGUAUUUUAUUGAAUAUGUGAUGGACUAGACGUAAGGGUUUGAUGCUUCAUAAAUUGAGAUGAAUUGGUAUGUGAUGAUGGAAGGCGUAAGGGAGACUAGGAAGCGGAUUUGCUCUUUCUGUUUUUGUUUUUGAAUGCAGGGAAAAUGGUUUUAGAAGUAUGAUGAGGAGGAUGGGAAUGGAGAUGAAAAUGGUGGAAUGGCAUUCGUAAAAGCUNUGUGCGAUGGAGGAAAAUNGGGUUGUUUGAUAAGGUUUUUCUGAAUAGAUGUACUGAGAAUAAUGUUGUUGGUUUUGGUUACGGGUUGCAAGAGCUGAAGAGUGGAGGUGAGUGUCUGGGUAAUGUAUGAUGAUGAUGGUUGAUGGAUGAAUUUGUACUCUCUGUUUUGGGUGUUUUGCUAACUGGAAGAUGAAGUUGAAAUUGAAUGGGAGAAUCCAAUUCUGUUGAAGGUGAGGAAUUGGGAAUGUAAUGAAGGUGAAUGGAGAAUCUGUUGGGAUGGUUAUCGCUUAGGCAUAGCAGAGGAGUCCAGAGAAAAGGAAUGUGUGUCAUCAAUUUUGUUGGGUCAUGAGGUGUAGUGAGGGUGAUGGCAUUUUUGAGUGAUGAUUCUGUUGGAGGUGGUUCCCUCUCGGGUGUGUUGGGUGAUCCUAGUGAGGAUGAGGAUGAAAUUGGAUUCCCAAAAUCAAUUCCCUGUAACCAUUUUUCUCACAAUGCACCCUUCCAAAACAUGUCUCUGCUAACCAACUUUUUUCCC